rnacentral:rRNA from 1 species
CCAUAAACCGGAGGAAGGUGGGGAGUGACGUCAAGUCAGCAUGGCCUUUAUAUCCUGGGCUACACACACGCUACAAUGGGAAGGGACAAUAGGUUGCGAAGCCGCGAGGCGGAGCCAAUCCAGCAAAACUUCCCUCAGUUCAGAUUGCAGGCUGCAACUCGCCUGCAUGAAGUUGGAGUUGCUAGUAAACGCAGGUCAGCCAUACUGCGUUGAAUACGUUCCCGGGGCUU